rnacentral:lncRNA from 1 species
CCAGGAUGGAAAUUUCUCCACAUAAACAAUCAUAAGCAGGCUAGCCCGGUUGCCGGGAUGAAAGUUCAAAGAUACUGCCGCAAGCUAUUUUUAACAACCGUCAAAAUAAUGUCAAAACAACAAAAUUGUCCCAGUAAGCGGAAUGAAAUUUUCUCAAAUAAACACAAGAGAAAUCAUCCUGCUUAUCUACUUUACCGGGCUGUCUUCCUAAGCGGGCCAGCCCGGCUUCCAUACAAACAGGCCCUAACAGCAAAGAUUAGAUACUAUAAAGAUGUGUCACUCUGCGAAAAUUAUGUCCGAGAUUUUUUUAUAGCCGCCAUUUUGCCAGUAAGUGUCAAAUUCGUCAAAAUUCGUC